rnacentral:rRNA from 1 species
CCUACGGGUGGCAGCAGUGAGGAAUAUUGGUCAAUGGCCGGGAGGCUGAACCAGCCAAGUCGCGUGAGGGAAGACGGCCCUACGGGUUGUAAACCUCUUUUGUCAGGGAGCAAGGUGCAGGUCGGGACCUGCUGUGAGAGUACCUGAAGAAAAAGCAUCGGCUAACUCCGUGCCAGCAGCCGCGGUAAUACGGAGGAUGUGAGCGUUAUCCGGAUUUAUUGGGUUUAAAGGGUGCGCAGGCGGAGGCACAAGUCAGCGGUAAAAUCGGGGGGCUCAACCCCGCUCCGCCGUGGAAACUGUGUCGCUGGAGUGGGCAAAGGGUAGGGGGAAGGCGGGGGGUGGCGGGAAAUGCAUAGAUAGCACGCAGAACUCCGAUCGCGAAGGCAGCCUACCGGCGCGCAACUGACGCUCAUGCACGAAAGCGUGGGUAUCGAACAGGAUUAGAUACCCGGGUAGUC